rnacentral:lncRNA from 1 species
CCCAGCACUUUGGGAGGCUGAGGCGGUAGGAUUGCUUGAGCACAGAGGUUUGAGACCAGCCUGGACAACAUAGAAAGACCCCAUCUCUACCCAAAAAAAAAAAAAAAAAAAAAAAAAACUAAGAAGUAGCCAGGCAUGGUGAUGCACACCUGUAGUCCUAACUACUUGGGAGGCCGAGGCAGGAGGAUAGCUUGAGCCCAGUAGUUCAAGGCUGCAGUGAGCUAUGAUCAUGCCACUAAACCUCAGCCUGGUGACAGAGUAACACCUUGUCUCUAAAAUUAAGAAAUAAAAAUAAAAUUUGGGGGUUCAAUCCAGUAUCUAUGUGGGAUAAAAUAAAGUUUUGAUUCCUACCUCACACCAUACACACAAAAAUGAAUUUCAAGUGAAUUAAAGAACAAACAUAAAAUGCACACUAUAGAAGCAUUACAAAAAAACUGUAAGAUCACAUUUUGGUAAAUCUAGAAUAGAGUAGAAAUGAAAUGCAACACCUAUAAAGAAAAGGACUACAUACAUAUCUGAAUUAUGUACAACAACAAAAAUACAAUUUGAAAACAACGGAUUGGAACAAAAAAAUUUGCAACACACAUUGCCAAUAAAGAAUUAGUGUCCAGAAUUUAUAAGCAAUUUCAUAAGAAAACAGUAAUAAUCCUCUUUUUAAAAUAGGAGGAUGUGGAUAGGCAAUUUACACAAAGAGAAACAGGCACAAAGUAGCUAAAAGGAUACCCAACCUUGCUAGUCCCUGCACUAAGGGCUACCACCUCCAAACGGCUGUGGGGAAGAAAGGAGGAAGAGGCAAUCACAAAGUCUUGGUCUUGAACUCUUUUAGGAGAAUUGCCAAAUAGUGAUGAAGGAAAAGAACUUCAGUGGGCUAAAAGGAGG